rnacentral:rRNA from 1 species
UGGGGAAUUUUGGACAAUGGGCGAAAGCCUGAUCCAGCAAUGCCGCGUGUGUGAAGAAGGCCUUCGGGUUGUAAAGCACUUUUGUCCGGAAAGAAAUCCUUGGCUCUAAUACAGUCGGGGGAUGACGGUACCGGAAGAAUAAGCACCGGCUAACUACGUGCCAGCAGCCGCGGUAAUACGUAGGGUGCAGGCGUUAAUCGGAAUUACUGGGCGUAAAGCGUGCGCAGGCGGUUUGCUAAGACCGAUGUGAAAUCCCCGGGCUCAACCUGGGAACUGCAUUGGUGACUGGCAGGCUAGAGUAUGGCAGAGGGGGGUAGAAUUCCACGUGUAGCAGUGAAAUGCGUAGAGAUGUGGAGGAAUACCGAUGGCGAAGGCAGCCCCCCUGGGCCAAUACUGACGCUCAUGCACGAAAGCGUGGGGAGCAAACAGGAUUAGAUACCCUGGUAGUCCACGCCCUAAAACGAUGUCAACUAGUUGUUGGGGAUUCAUUUCCUUAGUAACGUAGCUAACGCGUGAAGUUGACCGCCUGGGGGAGUACGGUCGCAAGAUUAAAACUCAAAUGAAUUGACGGGGUCAUAGCUGUUUCCU